rnacentral:rRNA from 1 species
GACGAACGCUGGCGGCGUGCUUAACACAUGCAAGUCGAGCGAUGAAGUUUCUUCGGAAAUGGAUUAGCGGCGAACGGGUGAGGAACGCGUGAAGAAUCUGCCCUCCACUUUGGGAUAACACAGGGAAACCUGUGCUAAUACCGAAUAUUGAAACAUAAGUGGCAUCACUGAGUUUUGAAAGAAUUUCGGUGGAGGAUGACUUCGCGGCCUAUCAGCUAGUUGGUGAGGUAAUGGCUCACCAAGGCAACGACGGGUAGCCGGCCUGAGAGGGCGGCCGGCCACACUGGGACUGGGACACGGCCCAGACUCCUACGGGAGGAAGCAGUGGGGAAUAUUGGGCAAUGGAGGAAACUCUGACCCAGCGACGCCGCGUGCGGGAUGAAGGCCUUCGGGUUGUAAACCGCUUUCAGUAGGGAAGAAGCGAAAGUGACGGUACCUACAAAAGAAGCACCGGCUAACUAUGUGCCAGCAGCCGCAGUAA